rnacentral:rRNA from 1 species
UACGGGGGGGCAAGCGUUGUUCGGAAUUACUGGGCGUAAAGGGCUCGUAGGCGGCCAACUAAGUCAGACGUGAAAUCCCUCGGCUUAACCGGGGAACUGCGUCUGAUACUGGAUGGCUAGAGGUUGGGAGAGGGAUGCGGAAUUCCAGGUGUAGCGGUGAAAUGACGCAGAUAUCAGGAAGAACACCCGUGGCGAAAGCGGCUCUCUGGGACGGUACUGGACGCUGAGACGCGAAAGCGUGGGGAGCGAACAGG